GCACAGAAGCUCAGGAGGAAAGAGACGGAGGGGCCAGGCGGGCCACGAUUCGCAUCCCAGUUUAGGACAGUGGCUUCCAUGAAGUCAUCUAACUUUUCCAAGAUUCGGUUUCCACCAAAAAUGGGACAAGCACCAGCAACAGUCAGACAGGGUUGAGAGGGGGACUGGGAAUGAGCAAGUACAGAGCCUGCUCUAUAAGUAAUAACCUGGUGGUCUUUGCUAAACAAACUGGUAAAUAGGGGGGCUUCUAGUAGGAAUUUUAGGGAAAAAUAAUUGUUUUCCAAAACUAGAGAAACUCGAACCAUAAACAAGAGCAUUAAAAUAAUUUUCAGUGCUAUCAGUUUAAUAAACUAAAGCAACUGAAUGAUUUAUAAAUGUAUUUAAGCCAACAAACAACACCUCAUGCUACGUUUUUUUGAAGUGUAGGUAUGUCCAUCUACCGAAGGAGUGACCUAUAGCACGUGCAUGGGACUCGAGGCACCUUGUUUGUUUGAACUCUGCUUGCUUAACUCCAAGCAACCCCACCUCAUUCCCGGUAAUGCUGGAGAGGAAUCUCUGAAAUGAAUCCAUAACGUGUGAGAAUCACAGUCUAGGAUCCCGUCAUUAUCUCCUAAGAAGACAGUGUCUGGUCCCGAACAGAAAAAGACAACAGGUGCUGUGAGGCCAGAAGCUUCCGUGUAAUCCUUCGUUUCUAUUCCUGACAUCCCACAGGCAGAUACCAACCUCAGCUCCUUGAGAGUGAGCGUGAGUGGUGUGGCCAUCCUGUGUUCCCAGCACCGACUCUGCACGUUUGCAUUUUCUCAGUCUCCCUCGCCACUGCUCCACCGUGGGCUCUUCCUGCUUCCUCAGACACAGUCAUGUUGAUCUUCCUAAGAACCCUGACAGGUCAGGUGGAGAUGUGGAGGGGGCUUCAAACCGGGCUGUGGACGGAAGGUGUAUCUACAUUGGACAUCUGACCAUCAUGUAUUUGCUACUGCAAGUCGGUGGUGGCCACAGGGGAGUGUGCUGAUCUAUACAAGCCGCACGGUACAGAAACCGAAGUUCAGAGAGGGUAGGUGCUGUCCUCAAGGUCAUCCAGCACAUUACCAGCGAAGCAAGACCGGAACCAGCCAGGAUUGUCCGCUCCCCACCAGUGUUCUUUCCAUCUGCCCUCGACAUCGUGGGCAGACACACUAAACCGGUGAGCACAAAACCAGGAAGGCAAAAACAGAUCUAACGACCUCUGGCCCCUACGCCGUAAGGUUUCUGUAAGGACUAAAUGAGCUCAUGAUUGCAAGGGCUCCGGACAGCCCGUGGCGUCGGACGGAGACCGGAGUUGGUGUUUACUCUCGGAUUCUCAUAAAACGACACUUUCCUCGUCCUUCCUUCUCUUUCCCCGCUUGGUUACAACGUUCUGUCCCUGCCGACUGCCAGCCUGAAAUUUACACAGGUCCACAAACCCAUACAAGGAAUGAAAUGGGCAACCCGUGUUCUCUAGUCUGAGCCCGACAGCUGCUGGGGAGAAAAUCUGAUAUGCGCCACGGACAAGGACUUAACGUAAGAACAAUUUUACACAUAAUCCUUCUCCUCCCCAUAGUUCUAGCCACAAAUGGUUUUACCCCCACGAACCGUGUGUUCACGGAAGGGUCAGGCGUCGGCAGCGGCUGCGGGUUUUACGUUGACAUUGAAGGGAGAGGCGUGCUGACGUCUGUGUCUGUCAUGUUGAACGUACUUGGAGGAGCAGGGCUUAGAGCAGGAAGCGCAGAAAGUCAGGAGUCCCAGGUGUGCUGGCCUCAACUCGAGCUUGGUGUGAGCGGGCAGCCUCACAUACACUCGGGCUGGCCAGCUCCGGUGUCCCAGGGGCCGGUCUGUCCUUGUGUGUCUGUCCAAUCUGUGUCUACCCCUGGCCGUAAGGGCCACUGCUCCGUUUUGCCCUUGUGCUUCCUUGUCCUGACACCGACAUAAACCAAUCCCCCUGCCCCCUGCAAUCCUUCAGCCGCCCCGGUACAAAGAAGCCACUUGCGUGAUGGGCAAAAGCAAGAUUUAAAAAAAAAAUGUUUUAUGUGUAUCAUUCCAACCACUUUGGUAACUAAAACAGACACGACAGAAUUUGGGGCCCAGGCCUGAAGGGUGACGAGCUAACAUCCAGAGGUAUUGUUUGCAGCACAUACUGAUCUAAGUUUUACGUCAGCCAAACCCCUUCUCGUGAUACCUUCUGACACUUGACAAGAGAAGACAAGACAGUCAUCUCCUCUCAGUUAUAGUUCUGACGUAUGGCGUUUCGGGUGUUUUCUGUUUGUGACACACGCUUCACGGUGCCCUAAGGAGCAUCCGGUUUAAAAUGAACAAAGGAUGAACAUUUAGUAACAUUUGAAGUUUGGCUCAGAAAGUUAAAAAUUUUAAGAAUAAAAAUGCAUUCCCUGAAGGUGAAAAAUCAAAGAGUAAACAGAUAGCAUCCCUCACCAGAAGGGAAGCAGUCUGGGUUCGUAGGCGAUGAUGAAUAAGAUACCUGAAGAUAGGUACGCUGUACGAGUCAGUCAAAAAGAGACAAGGGAAAGGGUUUGUUUUGUUCAAGGAGGACAGUUAGUGGCAAUCCAGGAGGUAAAAAGGAACCAGGGAAAAGGGACAGUAAGUCUGAUUCAGAAGGACAAGGAGUGGAGGGCAUUACUAUAGAUUUCGAUUCUGGACAGUAUUGAUUUUCUGUCUUCAUUUUUCCUUGAGAAUUAACUCCCAGAGCCUCUCCACGAACAUAUACGUAGUGUCCAUAUGGGUCCACACCACUGGGCGAGGCCUGACAAGAACACGCAAAAGCCUGUGUGGAAAGUGGUAAUAAAAUCCAUGGGCUUGAGUGAUUGUGAAUCCUCCUGCUUUCUACCUUCCUUUUUGCCUCCUUCAUUUGUUCCUUCCUUCCUUGAUUAUUUGAGUCCCUGCCACAUGCUAGGCACUUUUCUGGGCUCCGAGGAUGACACGAAUCUGUGUCUCCAAGAGGCUUACAGGCUGGUAACGAACCAACCCGGUGGCAAAGUCAAUGUUGAAUCUGUUUAGGAUAUCCCAUGGACGGUGAGGGCAGGGGCAUGGUGGGGAGCAGCACAGGGCACUAAGGGAUUCUGUGUCUGGCCGGGAUUAUCUCAAAGACCCUGAAAGAGAGGCUGAAACCAGAAGCAGAGAUAGUUCCGGAACAAGGACACUACUUGCUUCAUACUAUGAACCAAAGAAACAAAAUCCCACAGAAUGGUCAGGAUGAGUGAUGUCAGAAGCAACAUCAAAAUACCAGGGCUCGUGUUUUCACUUUCCUCUAACUAGAUCAGGAACCUUGAGUGAGUUCCUCUACGUUUUCAACGGUUUCCUUCUUUGCAAAAGAAGCAUUAACGCCAUCGACUUUGUAGAGGACAGUUAUGAGGAUGACAAGGGAUAGAAUGUAUGGAAAGACUUGGUGAAUUACAAGAAAAAUAGACCAUAUUAUCAUCAGAAAGUGUAAGACAGGUCACGCAGAGUCAAAGCUGGGAACAGAAAAGGUCAAGAGAUGUGCUAACCACCCCUAUUAGGUCCAAUUACAGGGAAUUUGAGAAACAAGAGAUUCACUUUUUUUCCAUUUCUCAUCUUCUCCUCCUUCUCCAACAUUAACCACAUAAUAUCUACUAGGAAAGCAUCUCAAUUUAAGAAAAUGUGGUAUAUGAAACAUUUAUACUUACAAAAUAAAUAGUUUCUUUCCAAAGGAACUCUUUAAGUGACAAGUUUACAUGGUGAGACAAAAUCCAGUGAUUUACUAAGAGCUGUUUUGUACCCAACUUAUAAAGUACAACUGUGCCCCUCUCUCUCCAUGUAUACAUAUACAUAUACAUAUACAUAUACA